rnacentral:rRNA from 1 species
UACGGAGGGAGCUAGCGUUGUUCGGAAUUACUGGGCGUAAAGCGCACGUAGGCGGCUUUCUAAGUCGGGGGUGAAAUCCUGGAGCUCAACUCCAGAACUGCCUUCGAUACUGGAGAGCUCGAGUCCGGGAGAGGUGAGUGGAACUGCGAGUGUAGAGGUGAAAUUCGUAGAUAUUCGCAAGAACACCAGUGGCGAAGGCGGCUCACUGGCCCGGUACUGACGCUGAGGUGCGAAAGCGUGGGGAGCAAACAGGG